rnacentral:lncRNA from 1 species
AGUCUCCUGUGAAAAAUGACAAUUUCCAGUGGAACAGUUAUGAGGAAGAGAUGGGAUCUGCCUGGGCUUUUUCAGUCUUUUGGACAAUCCAAGAUUCCUCUAGCUAAUGACUUCACAGUUGGUAACAGCUUGUUAGCUUUAUGGUGUUUCUUUAAUGUUUGUUAAAUGUUCCUGGGAUAUAGAUACCAGAUUACAAUUCACACCAGCCGGGAGGGACAAUGGAAAUUUCUUUAGGAGGCUUGCAGAUCCCUUGGACCUAGGGCACCCAACCUUUUGGGAUAUUUAGGAGAAAAAGGAGGGUUUUACUUCCGUCUUCCCUGGGGUUCCAGAUGAAUGUGUCAUCUUGGCUAGUCAUUUAGAGUCAUCUUAUGAACUCUAAAUGAAACUGAAGUCACACCUUUAACAUUACUUUAAGGAAGAAUCACAGAAGCCAACCUUAAAUCACUUAAAAUGAGAAUGAAACUUGAAGCAAUAGAUAGGAAGAACCAUUAUCUGGUCUGUCCUGCAAUUAUUGGAAGUGUUAAAGGAGAUGAAGUUUAC